rnacentral:rRNA from 1 species
UGAGCAAUCUGCCCUUCUCAUCGGAAUAAGCGUUGGAAACGACGUCUAAUGCCGAAUACGACCUCCUUUCGCAUGAUCGGAGGUGGAAAGCUCCGGCGGAGAAGGAUGAGCUCGCGGCCUAUCAGCUAGUUGGUGUGGGUAAUGGCCCACCAAGGCGACGACGGGUAGCCGGCCUGAGAGGUGACCGGCCACACUGGAACUGAGACACGGCCAGACCUCCUAACGGAGGCGACG